AGAGUAAUAGUUAAUUAUAACAUUUGAUUUGCAAUCAAAAAAUGAUCAAAAUCUUACUUU
rnacentral:tRNA from 1 species